CAGCGAUGACUCACCGCAGCACCCCCUUACCCCCCCCCCCCCGUGCGUCAAACUGCCGUCUCCGCCCACCCCCAAACAAGCUCCACCACCAGCCGCAGCUCCCGGCGCUCUGCUGGGGGCUGGAGGGGGCUCAUCCCCAUUCCCGUAGCCCAGCAGGCUAAAACCUUCCCCAUCCCAGGCUUCAGGCCUGUCUCGCUCCCCACCCGACCCUUCCGAAGAGCGGUGGAGAAGGAUGCGACAGCCGGGCCCGGGACACGGAAUCCAGCAACGACAGCGCGCGCGGAAGGGGCAGCCGAGCGCCCCGGGAGAGAUGCUUGGAGUAAGAAGCUCAAAGCUGAUGCUUCAAGCUACACCUACCGCGGCUUUGGGAUGCAAAUUUGGAAGUUAGACAAGCCCGAGCUUGGAGGCUGUGUGUGAGCACGUGUCUGACGGUACGUAUCGGUGGCAUUCACGGCAAGCGUAACUGGAAUAAACUUCAGCUACCGUUGGGCUCUGUGCAAGAGAGGUUCCAAAUGCAAAGCUUCAAUAACUGGGAGACUUGAAGACAGAUGCACAAGACUUGCACUCGAACUGCUACAUAUAUGGACAAUCAAGAAAAAAGCUCUACGGUGAAGAGCAGUAGGCUCCGUCUCCAAGUUCCCUUGCUGGAAGGCAUAUUAUGAAACGGGAUGUACCAUCAGAGACGAAGAACUCGUCUAGUCCACGCAGAGAACAGCGGUGGAGGAGUGCCCACUCACUAUCUGGCAUCUGAUAGUCGUAAAAGGUGAGCCCGACAUAAUUGAACUUCCCUAAGAAUUCUUCCUCUCAAGCUUCUCCUGCUCCAACCCUCAUCUUGUUUUGUAUUUUUAACAUUUUACAAGGCACUGAUACGACUUCAACAACAAACAAUAGCCUUUAGUGGAAGAUAGUGGCUGCAGAAGAAAUAUCAAUGCUUUAUUUGCAGGCUUUAAAGCCUGAUACUCUGCUAAAAAAGUGGAACCCAAGGAAGCAAAGCUGCCAUGUAAAUGUAAGAAAAUCUACUCUCUGGGGAAUAUGAGAGUGUCCCAAGGAUUCUGUCGUCACAGUCAUAUGAGACUCGGAGGAACUGAGGCCACAGAGCCAAGAGGGAGUGGGCCUCAGGUGGGCACCCUCCUGUGUCUGCUUGUAAACUCGCACUCCCCCCAUCAUUCUGGGCUGAGGCCGGCAGGGAAUUGGCAAAUGCACCUUCGAACACCCACAUUCCUGAUGCUCAUCCUCUCUUCCCUACUUCAGUUUCUCAAACACUUCCUGUGGCUAUGGAAGGGAAUUAAUUAUUGAUGAGGCAGCCGGCCUGCGCAAAGCAGAAAUCCCACUCCAAACUGGGUGCGUUGCCUCCCUGGAGAGCUGCUGGGAUUGCUGUAGAGCAUUGUUUUGCUUUUCCCUCAAGAAAAAAACUUGAACAAUUGGUCAGAGCCCGGAAGCCUGGUCAUUGCCCUAAUUCACAGCUGUUACUCAGGCCAUCUAGUCUGUUCUCCCCCAUGAAGUGCACUGCACCAAAAAGUGUAUCAUGUCAAGGUAGAAAGUAGCAUAUAACAAAACAUUUCAUCAUUGAAUACUGGGAUGUGCUGCAUUUCAAAGAAGGAUUAUUUAGUCCAUCCAUUGGAAUGCAUCGUAAGAAGGACUGACUACAAGAUCGUUUUUUUUUUUUAAGAUUUUAUUUAUUUAUUCAUGAGACAGAGAGAGAGAGAGAGAGAGAGAGGCAGAGACACAGGCAGAGGGAGAAGCAGGCUCCAUGCAGGGAGCCCAACGUGGGACUUGAUCCCAGGACUCCAGGAUCACACCCUGGGCCAAAGGCAGAUGCUUUAACCGCUGAGCCACCCAGAUGUCCCUGACUACAAGAUCUAAACUGAGUAGUGUCCAGUCAUCUUAGCAUGGCCCACAGGUCCUCCGUGAUGUGCCUCCACAAUCUCUGCGUCAGAAGAUCAUGAUCAUUCCGCCCCAAGGCCUCUGCUGUUCCCUGGACUGGAACACCUAAAGCCUCUGAUCUCAGGGUUGUUCCAGUUUCAGCUGAAUUGUCAGCUUCCCAGGGAGUCCUUCUUCUCUAUCAGGACACAGCCUUUUACAAGACCCUGUAAUUUCUCAUCUUCACAGCGUCGGGCUGUGUGAAUACCUCUGUUUUGAUUUCCUGUUCCUGUCUGCCUCACUGGAAAGUAAAAUGAAGCUCACUGAAAGUAGGAACGGUCUCUGGUCUACAGGAGGUUCCUUACCAACUGGAAUAGUGCCAGGCAUGUAGUAGAUACUUAGUAAUACUUGUGAAUUUUAAUUAAUGAAGCCAAGGGCAUAUGCAUAGAUUAUAUCAUUGUCUUUUUGUUUGUCUGCAAUAGACAAACCUUGAGUUAAAAGGGAAGGGGCAUAUAUAAUGGGGAGGACUAUCAGCAAAUUUAUUAUUACCCAGAUCUUUAUUAGUCUUAACUAACAUCUCUUACAUCCAUUAAAUAUCAUCUAUAGGGAUCCCUGGGUGGCGCAGCGGUUUGGCGCCUGCCUUUGGCCCAGGGCGUGAUCCUGGAGACCCGGGAUCGAA